GGACUGCAAACACAAAAUAAACCAAGAGCAUCAUCUGUGAGAAAUAGGCGAACAGCCAACAAUGAUACAAGCAUAGCAUGACUACAGUUUCAUCUAAAAGUUAUUUUCUCGAGCAGUAUUAUGAUGCGUUUUCAUUUUCUUCGUAGUUAAAGGUAGUCAAACUGGCUUACAGUUGGAAAAAUCAUACGCGCCAACUUUAACCAAAUUAUUGCAAGCAAUUUGAGCUAAUAAGACUACAGAAUAAAACUAAGCAAGAACCAACGGCUGGUACACCAAUUAGAUACAGUUAAAGGUAGUCAAACUGGCUUACAGUUGGAAAAAUCAUACGCGCCAACUUUAACCAAAUUAUUGCAAGCAAUUUGAGCUAUUAAGACUACAGAAUAAAACUAAGCAAGAACCAACGGCUGGUACACCAAUUAGAUACAGGUACUUUUACUUUCAAAAGUAUGGCUUGAAUGAGAGAUAUAAUCUGAUAGAGUUAAUAUCUAAUACAGGCAGAUUUAUUGACUUUCAGUAAUGUGUCAUGGACAUGAAUUCUUAACCUACAAAAGCAGAACAGGAAAGUUCCUUUUAAGCAGCAUGUUGUCUAGACUUACUUUAUUAGUACUGGUUCAUAUGCAGUCACUAGCACAUCUGUGUCAACUCCUUUAAGACGUAUAUUUGCCAAAUAAACCUGCGUGCAAAGGCCAGCAUAUUGAGAGUCAGCAUUUUCAAACAAUUAAAGAUGGGAGUUUGAAAAUGUAAAUACUUACUCUAACGAUAUUUUGUGCUUCUCUCCCUUGUCGCCCCUUGGAAAUAUUCUGUGUACAUAUCGUAAUGAGAAAUAGAGCAAAAGACGAACAAAAACAGAUCACAAGGCUCAAGUGGAAAAAAAAAAAACUUCAAGGCAAUUCCCUGUAAACUUCAUUCUGAUUUAAGUCAGGCAGUUAACAAAUCCCAAACACAACCUUCACCAGAAACUUUUUACCAACUUAAAUAAGGCAGUUAAGGAACCCAACUAUAAUACAAAACCAUCGCUAGCCUUACUACAAACUCAUAUGCUUAAUGUGAAUGGUCAUGGUGUUAAAGCAUACACAUCAUCAUCACAAACAUAUGCUUCAGAAACAAAUAAAGAUUCACUGCAAUGUUUCAUCGAUUACAGCCAGAGUGAUGAAUUGUAAAGCAGAGAAAUAUAUUACUUCCACAGC